UACGGAGGGGACUAGCGUUGUUCGGAAUUACUGGGCGUAAAGCGCACGUAGGCGGAUUUGUAAGUUAGGGGUGAAAUCCCGGGGCUCAACCUCGGAACUGCCUUUGAUACUGGGGAUAUCGAGUCCGGGAGAGGUGAGUGGAACUGCGAGUGUAGAGGUGAAAUUCGUAGAUAUUCGCAAGAACACCAGUGGCGAAGGCGGCUCACUGGCCCGGUACUGACGCUGAGGUGCGAAAGCGUGGGGAGCAAACGGG
rnacentral:rRNA from 1 species